rnacentral:rRNA from 1 species
UACGUAGGUGGCGAGCGUUGUCCGGAUUUACUGGGCGUAAAGGGAGCGUAGGCGGACUUCUAAGUGAGAUGUGAAAUACCCGGGCUCAACCUGGGGGCUGCAUUUCAAACUGGAAGUCUAGAGUGCAGGAGAGGAGAGUGGAAUUCCUAGUGUAGCAGUGAAAUGCGUAGAGAUUAGGAAGAACACCAGUGGCGAAGGCGACUCUCUGGACUGUAACUGACGCUGAGGCUCGAAAGCGUGGGGAGCAAACAGG